CCUACGGGUGGCAGCAGUGGGGAAUAUUGGGCAAUGGAGGAAACUCUGACCCAGCAAUGCCGCGUGAAUGAAGAAGGUCUUCGGAUUGUAAAGUUCUUUAGUCAGGGAAGAAGUCAAUGACGGUACCUGAAGAAUAAGCUCCGGCUAACUACGUGCCAGCAGCCGCGGUAAUACGUAGGGAGCAAGCGUUGUUCGGAAUGAAUGGGCGGAAAGGGUGCGUAGGCGGUUGUACAAGUUAGAAGUGAAAUACCCAGGGCUUAACUCGGGUGCUGCUUCUAAAACUGUAUGACUUGAGUGCAGUAGAGGUGAGUGGAAUUCCUGGGGUAGCGGUGGAAUGCGUAGAUAUUAGGAGGAACACCAGAGGCGAAGGCGGCUAACUGGACUGAAACUGACGCUGAGGCACGAAAGUGUGGGGAGCAAACAGGAUUAGAUACCCUAGUAGUC
rnacentral:rRNA from 1 species